UGGCUCAGUUGGUAGAGCAUGGCGCCUUCAAUGCCAGGGUUGUGGGUUCGAUUCCCAC
rnacentral:tRNA from 1 species